CUUGUUCUCAUCAACAAUGACAAAGGGAGGCAAGUACUGGUCAUUAGCAUUUUCCCUCAAUUUCUUCACAGCUUCAACAGCAUUUGUAAACUUGUGAGGGGCUUCACCAAGAACCUGAGCAUCCCAUCCUCGUUUGACAACAUUCCAGUCAUUCUACAAAAGAUUCAUUCACAAAAAAUGAGCUGCUUGAUGCAUUCAAAUAAAGACAAAACAUUUUAUUCAUGAUCCAACCAUUUGGCCAAGCUAGAAUCUUUUCCUUAGGAGUGAUUCAUCAGGUACUUCUGUGCCUUGUCUGAACAGUAAUCCACUCUGAUACACAGAUAAGUGGUUCUACUAUGUCUCAAGCCAAGGGGCCAACAAAAUUUGCACACCAGGAUGCUUUUUUGCCAAAAUCAUUCAUGAGAUGGCUUCCUUAUCACAGCUGUUAUAGGAAUCAUUCAAUGGUUCUUACUUUUACAUAAAAUCAAUAGCAACAACAGAGGAAGAAAAUCAAUCAAAAAAAAAAUAGAGGAAUAAAAAAAGCUAACAAAAGAAAAACAAAGACUGAUUAAACAAUAAUCAAAAUUCCUCUUUCUUUCAGAUCUUUGAAAAAAAAAGAAAAAAGAAAAUAACAGAACCACUGCAAAUGGUUAAUGCAAAACAAUAGAGUCACAUUAACUGGUCUACAUGCUUUUAGGACUCUGACAAUUAUUUCUCACCUCAUAACGAUCCAUUGUGACAUACAUGCGGCCUCCACCAGAUGCAAUCUGGGCAUCAACUCCUUUCUCACGUAAUUUUGCAAGGUCAUUCUCAAGAGUCUCCACAAAGCCUAUACUUGAACCAUCCAAAACAUCACGACCAUCAGUGAGAACAUGAACACGAAUUCU
rnacentral:lncRNA from 1 species